GAUGAAGAACGCAGCGAAAUGCGAUAAGUAAUGUGAAUUGCAGAAUUCGGUGAAUCAUCGAAUCUUUGAACGCACAUUGCGCCCGCCAGUAUUCUGGCGGGCAUGCCUGUUCGAGCGUCAUUUCAACCAUCAAGCCCCAGGCUUGUGUUGGGGACCUGCGGCUGCCGCAGGCCCUGAAAACCAGUGGCGGGCUCGCUGUCACACCGGGCGUAGUAGAUUUUAUCUCGCUCAGGGCGUGCUGCGGGUUCCGGCCGUUAAAAAGCCUUUUUUACCCAAGGUUGACCUCGGAUCAGGUAGGAAGACCCGCUGAACUUAAGCAUAUCAAUAAGCGGAGGA
rnacentral:misc_RNA from 1 species